AAGAAAUGAAAAGAAAACACAUUGAAAUAUUGAAAUUCUAACCCCAUCCCAAAUUAGACCAAAACCGAGCCACCCCCCUUCUCUCUCUCUCUCUCUCUCUCUCUCUCUCCUUCAUUUCUCUCUCUCCGAACGACCAAACCCUAACCGAUCCCUCUUUAUUUAUCUCUAAUUCUUUUCCCGGUACUUUAAUUCGAGGUUUCUCUUCAGAUCUGUUCCACCUCAGAUUUAAUUCAUUUUGACGAAGUAUUUUAGAUGGAUGAUGAUAGAGCAGAUGGAUAAAAUGUCUGCUCCUUCAUCCAAGGAGCGCGCACAGCAUCUUUAUGAGAAGAAUAUAGAGUUAGAAAGUAAUCGUAGGAGAUCAGCUCAGGCACGAGUACCUUCAGAUCCCAAUGCCUGGCAGCAGAUGCGUGAGAACUAUGAGGCAAUAAUUCUUGAGGACCAUGCUUUUUCUGAGCAGCACAAUAUUGAAUAUUCUUUGUGGCAGUUACAUUAUAAGCGGAUUGAGGAACUAAGGGCACAUUAUACCACUGCUAUAGCUUCUGUAGGAGUGAACGCCUCUCAGGGUGUGAAAGUUCCUCAACGACCUGACCGGCUUACAAAAAUAAGACUGCAGUUUAAGACUUUCCUUUCAGAGGCGACAGGAUUUUAUCAUGAUCUGAUUUUGAAAAUCAGAGCAAAGUAUGGACUUCCAUUUGGGUACUUUUCUGAUGAUUCAGAAAGCCAGAUUGUUAUGGACAAAGAUGGGAAGAAAUCUGCUGACAUAAAAAAGGGUUUGGUGUCUUGUCACCGUUGUUUGAUAUACCUGGGAGACCUAGCACGGUACAAAGGAUUAUAUGGAGAUGGAGACUCUAAAUCACGCGAAUAUGCAGCAGCUUCAAGUUACUACUUGCAAGCUGCAUCAAUUUGGCCAUCAAGUGGGAACCCACAUCAUCAGCUAGCUAUAUUGGCUUCCUAUUCAGGAGAUGAGCUGGUGGCUGUUUAUCAAUAUUUCCGGAGUUUGGCAGUUGAUAAUCCCUUUUCAACUGCAAGGGAUAACUUGAUCGUGGCAUUUGAGAAGAAUCGUCAUAAUUACUCACAGCUACCUGGGGAUGUUAAAUUGGUCAAGGAGCCUGCUGUGCGUUUAUCGGGAAAAGGCAGAGGGAAAGUGGUAGCAAAACUUGCAUCUAAAGAUGCCAGCAAGGAACCAGGCCCUGCUAAGGAGAAAGUAUCUGGUUUCCAGGAUACUUUUAAGUCCUUUUGCAUUCGAUUUGUGCGUCUAAAUGGUAUUCUUUUUACACGCACAAGCCUGGAGACUUUUGCUGAUGUUCUUACUCUGGUUAGCCGUGAUUUAUGUGAACUUCUCUCUUCUGGGCCAGAAGAGGAACUUAAUUUUGGCACAGAUGCUGCUGAGAAUGCACUUCUCCUUGUUAGGCUGGUUUCCAUUCUCGUGUUUACAGUUUACAAUCUGAAGAGGGAGGGUGAAGGUCAAACAUAUGCUGAAAUUGUACAGCGUGCUGCCCUACUUCAGAAUGCAUUCACUGCCAUUUUUGAGUUGAUGGGACAUAUAGUAGAGAGAUGUUCACAGCUCCAGGAUGUUUCUUCAAGCUAUACCUUACCUGCUGUUCUAGUUUUUGUAGAAUGGCUGGCUUGCUGCCCGGAUGUUGCAGCAGCUGGCAGUGAUGUGGAUGAGAAACAGUCUAUCACUAGAUCACUUUUCUGGAAACGCUGCAUAUCAUUUCUGAAUAAGAUCUUGUCAAUUAGGCCAAUGUGCAUAGAUGAUGGUGAAGAUGAGACCUGCUUUUUCAAUAUGAGUAGGUAUGAAGAAGGAGAAACUGAAAACCGUCUUGCAUUGUGGGAGGACUUUGAGUUGCGAGGGUUCUUGCCUCUUGUUCCAGCACAUACCAUUUUGGACUUCUCAAGGAAACGUUCCUUUGUUAGCGAUGGCGAUAAGGAAAGGAAAGCCCGUGUCAAGAGAAUUUUAGCAGCUGGGAAAGCUCUAGCUAAUGUCAUUAGGGUUGAUCAGGAAACUGUUUGUUUUGAUUCGAAAGCCAAGAAAUUUCGUAUUGGUGUUGAGCCUUCCGAAGAUGUGACAUUCAGCUCUUCUACCCCACUGGAAACAAAUGGUGUGGGGCAUGAAACUCCCUCUGAGAAGACAAUUAAUAUUGGAAAUGUUCAGCCAACUCCACAGCCUAUAAUGUUUGGUGAAGAGGAUGAUGAUGAUGAAGUGAUUGUUUUCCAGCCAGCUGUGAGUGAGAAGAGAACUGAGGUAAUUGGUCCAAACUGGCGCCCCUCUGACACUUUGAAGCUUGAUCAAAGUAGUUCUACAGGUGAUCUCAUAUUUUAUGGCAGUACCAUGUCUGCUCCUUUUGAUAGUCUUCGCCAGCAUAAUACAUUUGAUGCUAAUCCUCCACUGCCUGUAUCUGUUGGUAGCAUUCUCCCACAGCAUCUACAGCCUGUUCAGAUGCACGCAUCUAGGUGGUCAGCUGAAGAAGCUACUUCUCUGGCUAAUAGCUUGAAAGGUUUGACAAUGUUGGAGAAUGGGCAUUUAAGAAAAUGUGAGAUGCAAGAUAAUGGUGGUGUUUCUCAUCCUGCUGCUCGUUCUGUUGCUAUCCAACAACCCAUCAGUCCUUUUGCAGGUGGUAUGUAUUACAGUCAGACAAAAGGGCCAGAAACUGUGAUGCCAUCCAGAAUUGAUGCUAUGGUGUCAUCUGGAGUUACUACUGAUGCUUUGGCUGGUAAAACUACCUCAGCUUUGCAAGUCGGGAUGCGGAAGAAUCCAGUUUGCCGCCCAGUUAGGCAUCUUGGUCCCCCACCAGGUUUUAGCCCUGUUCCUCCAAAGCCACUGAGUGGAUCUGUUUCUGCUUCAGAUUUGGAGAACCCGCUGAUGGAUGAUUAUAGAUGGUUGGAUGGAUAUCAGUUGACAUCAUCAUUGAAAGGCUCUGGCCUUGAUGGUUCUCUCAAUUAUGCAUCUCAUGCAGAUCCCCAGUAUGUCAAUAACAGCAGCAAUGUCUCGACUGGAAUGGUAAGCUUUCCUUUCCCUGGAAAACAAGUUGCAGCAGUGCAGUUUCAAACGGAAAAGCAGAAAGGCUGGCAGGAUUACAAUACUCUUGAGCAUCUGAAAAUUCAACAUCAACAGAAAUUGCAGCAACAGCAACUCAUGAAUGGAAACCAGCAGUUCACCUCACUGCCUGAGCAGUAUCAAGGACAGUCAGUCUGGACGGGUCGUUAUUUUGUGUGAGAUCAAAAUAAAAGUGUAGCUGGUUCUUUGAGAAUGAUUACCAUGAAUGUACUGCAUCCAUUUGCUGCCGAAUUCAACUCCAACUUUGAAGCAUUGUCAGUGUUGAGUUUUUGUUGGAGCAUAGUUGGCCUUGGCUUCUGGCGGGCACUUGCUGCUAAACAAAUUUCGCCAUAUUUGUGGAGGAAGAUUUGACCAAACUAUCUUUAAGAUGCGAAACUUGUAAGGAGUAAAUGCCUUAACUGGUUACUUGGGCUGGAGAUAGAACGUGUUAAUAAGAUCAUCUGUUGGUUUUGGGGGCUAUAUCUUCAAGGAGUUGGUCGAUUAAAAACUUGAUUUACUAUCCUAUUAACUUUCGAAUGGUCUGCCUAGAUUGCUGUUAAAAUUCAGCAGCCGGCAGUUGGUAAUAUUUGAUGUGCUCGACCAGCUCUCUGCAGAAGCUUCAGAGCUCUGGUCAAGAGGUCUACUAGGUACGAUCUGCAUAUUAGUGGUUGGACAGUGGGAUUGGGAUUAUGGUGGUGCGUUUGAGUAGCAGAAUGUGUGGGUGAGUAUUGAGUGAUGUGUACGUUUGAUAUCUGGGUCAAAGACUUAUUUAUGUUAUUAUGCUUAAUAUGUUACCGGCUAUGAUGAGUGAUGUGGAACAGCAGAAACUAGAGGGGGUUGCUGAAGUUGGGGGUUCACUCAAACUUCUUCUGUAAUCAAAUAAAUUAAAUCUAUGGAGAAUUUUCUUUCUGGGUCAUUGCAGACGCAGAUUUUCUUUCUCUUGCUUGUGGUUAGUUUGCCGUGUAAGUUGGCAGGCAAUACACAGUACUCAUGAAUCGUUAUUUAAUUCUUCGGUUCCUGUUUUUACUUGGGUCAGCGACUUAUGAAGAAAUGGCCAGUAUCAGUAAGGCUUAUGAAGAAAUGGCCAGUAUCAGUAGCAUGUUCUAUCAUUUUUUUCUUCCGUUUCUAUUUUACUCUUACUAUCUAAAGGAACUUACCACAUCCGACCUAACUAUCUAAAGGAACUUACCUGAUUAGCUACAGUAACUUUGGCAGGGUGGGGAUUACGUCUUGAUCCUCACAGACCUCGCUAGCUACAGGAAUUUACCAUGGUGGGAUUUGAUUACACAUCAAACUUAGGCGGUCCUUCAAUGCCUAAGCACCUUCAUUCCGCUGGGUUAAAUGCUCAUUGGCUAUUAAGUUUGUUUAUAAUAUGGCAAGACGUUCCAAAUAUUAUGUCUUGGAGGUGUGUGUUUAUUUAGCCAUACCUUGAUCGACAUUAAUAAUGUGUUUGAUAAGAAAAGGGGUAAAAAAAAAGUA